UACGUAGGGUGCGAGCGUUUAAUCGGAAUUACUGGGCGUAAAGCGUGCGCAGGCGGUUUUGUAAGCCAGAUGUGAAAUCCCCGGGCUUAACCUGGGAAUGGCAUUUGGGGACUGCAAGGCUCGAGUGCGGCAGAGGAGACUGGAAUUCCUGGUGUAGCAGUGAAAUGCGUAGAUAUCAGGAGGAACACCGAUGGCGAAGGCAGGUCGUCUGGGCUGACACUGACGCUCAUGCACGAA
rnacentral:rRNA from 1 species